CCUAAAAAUUUGAGGGAAGAUUCAGCUGCUAUAGCUUAAAAUCGGAGAUCAUGCAUGUUAUGCCUGUUAAUUUUAAUUUGGAAUACUGAGAUCUGUUCAGAUGCUGUGCUUACCUGCUAAAAACAAUCUAGCAAAAAGGGACAGAAGUUUGUUGCUUUUUCUUACCUUGGUGCUGUUUGAUUGGUACUCAAUCAAGAUGAUAGUUGGUGUAAAAUCAUGUACGUACACUUCCAGAUUUUUUGUAUUUACAAGGAUUGGUUCAUGUUACGAUUGUCAAUGGAGCGACAUUACUUCCACUUUUCCUUACAUAUUCUCCACAGGCCACAAACUGUUUAUUCUUAUUUUAAUUCUUAGUGCCUAAUGGUCCCGUAGGUGUUUUUCAAGACUAAUAAAAAAAGUUUGAUAGAGCAAAUCAGACACGCCUCUAAGGUUAGUCUCCUGGAUCUAUUUCUACUCACAUGAGUAACUAAUUUUGCUUCCCUUUGAUCCAGGGCAUAAAAUUGAUGGUUGCUACUACCAAAUUGCUACUGUUUAAUUGACGUCUUCUUUACGAAAUACUAGAAUUUGAUGCCGGUAGUUCAUCCUUUUGAAUUUCAAAAGCAUGAAAUAAUAUAAUUACCCCAUGUUUCUGUCUGCUAAUUUAUUAUUAAUCCAAUGAAAUAUGUCACUGUUGCUUUCAUGGACCUUUUCUGCAUGGAACAGGGGAGAUUCAAAAUUUUGUAUCUACUUUGUAAUUGCCCCUUUGUGGUUGCUGCUUGAUUUCUUAGUGCACCAAUCGGUUGUACUAGGAGGAUUAUUAUAACAUGGAAGCCUUUUUUAUGCAAGGAACAAAUGAGGCUUUAUUAUCUAACAUUCACCUGUAGAUAUUUAUCAUGCUUAGCACAAGGCUCUGCAAGGCUUGAAUUUCUAAAUUAUUUUUUGUUUCUACGAGCAGAGAAGAUGAUAGAUGUUUAAGUACGAACCAUUGACGUAAGCUGCAUUGCAAUUUAUUGACGGAAAGGCACACCCCAUGGAUGUGGAUUGUAGAGUGGAAACGAGAGAGAAAUACAAAAGUCUAUGGUUUUGCAUGGCAGACACACACACAUAUGUAUAUAGAAACACACGCACACAUAUGAGUACCAUUUGUAUUUUUCUUUACUUAGAGAGAUCCCUGGCUACUAUCCAAUUCACUAAAAUGGAAAGACCUUUGGUCGAAAUUAAACAAUCAUAUUUCUCAAUCAUAAAUUUUGAGCCGUAUACAUUUGUAUGUACAUUCUAAUUUUUUUAAUUGCAUAUUGGUACUACUAUAUUAAGAAAUUUGACCCAAAUAAUACUCUCGCCGUCCUAAAAUAAGUGUCGCUGAUUUAGCACAACUCUGUACUAAAGCAGCGACACUUAUUUUAGGACGGAGGAGUAGUUGAUUACAUGCCCAAAUAAUAAAUCUAGCCGCGCAAUUGCGCGGGCCGCACAUCUAGAUUAAAUGUGUAUAAAAGGUGUAAAAGCUAAACAGAAAACCUGGAUUGUCCUUAAUCAGAAAUCAGUAACUAAGCACAUGUCUCCCUACUUAUAAACUAAAUGUCAUUGGACGUACUUACAUGUGGAGUGUGCUACUGUUCUGCUGCUAAGACCACCAUGUUUAUGUUACAAUGAUCAUCUCCUUAUAUUACGGGUUUUGUAAUUUGGCAUGUUGGAAGUUGUAGUUAAUGCGUGUAUCUUCAUAUCCAGCAAUACAUAUUAAUUUGUGCGAUAUCUCUUUUAGCAGUAAGUUUGAAGAUUGGUUAGGGUUUUCCCGCACAUAUACUCAAGUGUUUUUUUCCUGAAUAUAACAUACAUAAGGGGAUACAACAUCUGAUAAUUUUCUAUAUAAAGUAGAACAUACCAAACUGAUCUUAUGCCCAAUCUAUCAAAGUAUGUUUUAGAGAACUCUCUAUUACCAGAAUUAUGUUCAUCUGCAGUAUGUAGUAAGUUCUGUUUGGUCCGGUUCAUCUUUCAUGUGGUAUGCAGCAUUUGAACUACAUGCAUAUAUGUAUUAGCAGGUUGUGUACUACUGUUAUGUACAACUAAGAAAAAUUAUAAAAGAUCACUUCUAAUUCAGAUAUGUUUGGAGGACAUAUACUAUAAACUGUUACAAUACACCAACAACAAUCAUGUCAUUUAAUGUACAUCUCCACCUCCAUAUUAUAAACCUCUGUGUUUUUAUCACCAAUCGUAAAUUAUUAAAUGAAAUUAUACAAUUUCUAUAACCAUUACCAACGAUCUGCAUAUUUCCUUUGCAUAGUCUAUUCUUUAAUCAAGACGUACACAAUUAAUAAUGGGAUGAGUCGGCCAUGGUGAUUCCUCAAGAAAAUGUAUUCCAGGAUAAUUGCUCAGUGGUCUUCAUCUAGGGAAAGAGAGACCAAAAUGAUUCCAAUUAUGUCGAAUGCUUCACGAUGAGAGAUGUUUACUUACUUUCAUCCAACCCCGAGGAUUAAAAUCUCUUUCAUCGUGGUUAUUUAUUCUCAAGUACUAUACAAAAUGUUUCCAAAAUAUAAAGCUCAUACACAUGCACAUGUUCCAUUAUCAUUUAUUACUUUUAGUUCAAAGGAGCGCACGAGCGAGCCGGAUCUACAUAUAUGAGUCAUGUUCAUGGAUUCAUUGUUUACUGAGUAAGUUUGUUGUUCUUACUACUCUUUUAUUAUUUUGUUUACUAAUCUGCUAAAUUUGUACUACCUCCGUUUUGAUACUCGGAGUUUUCCACAGUAUAGUUGUGCCCUUUUAUUUUUAACCUAUCGCACAUCUACACAAUGAAAGAACAAGUACUUUGUCGUUUUUCUAAUCGAUCUUUCUACAGAAAAAUAAAAAUAAUUUCUACAUUUAGAAAUUCUGUACUUGAGAAAUGAUUUUUUAGAGAAAUACUAGAGAUCAUAACAUGUAAUCAUCCAUCGGAUCUACUUAAAAACCAUUUCAAAUCUACUGGAUCUACUCUCAUCUCUACAAACCUCUAGAAGCCACAAUCCCCAAAUCGCAUCUCUCUCCCCAAAUCCACAUCUCAGUUAUAUUGUCCCUCUCUCAAAAAGCGGUUGUGGUAAGACUUUUAUCUCUAGGGCGUGGCUGUGGGGUGGAGAUGGAGAUGGAGAGAAGAUGAUGAAUUUUAUUACCUGUGCCUCCUCUUCCGCCAAAUACAUUCGGGUCGGGAUGACCGGACUGAUCCUGCCGCGCUCCACUUGCCUCCGGUUACAGUACGGUUGGCGGUGCUGCGCCCGACCCUGCCACUGUCCAUGCGCUGCCGCCGCUGCCUGGGACGAGCAGAGGAGAGCGAGCAUAUAUCCAGCUUGCGGUGGACAGCGACCAGGCCGAAGUUCUUCAGUGGUGACCGACAGAGUCACAGUGACGUGGAGUUGGGCUGUCAAUUGGGGUCUUGGGGACAAGCACAACUAUUUGGGCCAAGUUGGGCUGAGAAAUAAAUCCAGCGGUUUAAAAAAAAGCACGCCCAGGAUGAUAAAGCAAGUAGAAUUUGCAGUAAAAACAAAGGUCCAAUAUGGGUUUAAGCUAUGUAUUACAUUUCCUUUAAAAAAAAAGCUAUGUAUUACAUUUC